UGGGGAAUUUUGGACAAUGGGGGAAACCCUGAUCCAGCCAUCCCGCGUGUGCGAUGAAGGCCUUCGGGUUGUAAAGCACUUUUGGCAGGAAAGAAACGUCAUGGGUUAAUACCCCGUGAAACUGACGGUACCUGCAGAAUAAGCACCGGCUAACUACGUGCCAGCAGCCGCGGUAAUACGUAGGGUGCAAGCGUUAAUCGGAAUUACUGGGCGUAAAGCGUGCGCAGGCGGUUCGGAAAGAAAGAUGUGAAAUCCCCGAGCUCAACUUUGGAACUGCAUUUUUAACUACCGGGCUAGAGUGUGUCCGAGGGAGGUGGAAUUCCGCGUGUAGCAGUGAAAUGCGUAGAUAUGCGGAGGAACACCGAUGGCGAAGGCAGCCUCCUGGGAUAACACUGACGCUCAUGCACGAAAGCGUGGGGAGCAAACAGG
rnacentral:rRNA from 1 species